GGGUCAGUAGGUUGGUCGUGCCACCGGUACGUACUGGUCUCACUGAUUCCUCCUUCCUGAAGAACCGUAAUGCCAUUAAUUUGGUGUUGCGGGGAAACAGGACUGUUACUUCGUAAAAAUUAGAGUGUUUAAAGCAAGCUAACGCUUGAAUACAUUAGCAUGGAAUAAUGAAAUAGGACGAUCGAUCCUAUUUUGUUGGUUUCUAGGAUUGACGUA
rnacentral:rRNA from 1 species